UGGGGAAUUGUUCGCAAUGGGCGCAAGCCUGACGACGCAACGCCGCGUGGAGGAUGAAGAUUUUCGGAUCGUAAACUCCUGUCGAGCGGGACGAACGGCCCGUGGCCUAAUACGCUGCGGGAGUGACGGUACCGCUAAAGGAAGCCCCGGCUAACUCCGUGCCAGCAGCCGCGGUAAUACGGGGGGGGCAAGCGUUGUUCGGAAUUACUGGGCGUAAAGGGCUCGUAGGCGGCCAACUAAGUCGGACGUGAAAUCCCCCGGCUCAACCGGGGAACUGCGUCCGAUACUGGAUGGCUUGAAUCCGGGAGAGGGAUGCGGAAUUCCAGGUGUAGCGGUGAAAUGCGUAGAUAUCUGGAGGAACACCGGUGGCGAAGGCGGCAUCCUGGACCGGUAUUGACGCUGAGGAGCGAAAGCCAGGGUAGCAAACGGG
rnacentral:rRNA from 2 species